rnacentral:misc_RNA from 1 species
GAAAUGCGAUAAGUAAUGUGAAUUGCAGAAUUCAGUGAAUCAUCGAAUCUUUGAACGCAUAUUGCGCCCGUCAGCAUUCUGGCGGGCAUGCCUGUUCGAGCGUCAUUUCAACCCUCAGGACCCCCCUUUCGCGGGGAGGGACCUGGCGUUGGGGAUCGGCCCGCCCCCCGCGGCGGCGCCGUCCCCGAAAUCUAGUGGCGGUCUCGCUGCAGCCUCCCCUGCGUAGUAGUUACAACCUCGCAUCGGAGCGCGGCGCGGCCACGCCGUAAAACCCCCGACUUUCUGAACGUUGACCUCGGAUCAGGUAGGAAUACCCGCUGAACUUAAGC